CCGGUUCAGUAGGGCCGGGUGCUGCUCUCGCACCGACCCCACGUGGAUGUGGGUGACAGCAGGGCUGAGCCAGCCCGGAGCCAAGGGGAUGGCCGCAGGGCUGUCACUGCCUGGUGGCCCCACGUUGGCCUGUGCCGGCAGGGGGCUGCUGGGUAGCCUCCAACCUGAGUGAUUCUAUGAUUCUAUGAUUCAAUGAGCCGCGUGUGCUCCUCUACGCCUUGAGGGUACCUCCCUCCUCCUCUUCCUCUCCCCCUGAUAUUCCCGUCCCUGUGCCGAGGGCUCUGCCAGGUCCCAGCAGCUGGCCUUAGGGACAGGGAUGGCUUUGUCCCCACAGCAGGGUCAGGACCUCACCACCGUGCCCAGCACUCUUGGUCCUCCCCUUUGGGCCCAGUACCAGUGUAUGGGCCGAUGGGGUCGCCAUUCCCACUGUGGAUGCUCCCAGCUCUCCCUGCAACAUCUCUGCGCUAUCACUGCCGACCAUCCCCGUGUCCCCUCACCCCGCGGUGCUGUAUCCCCAUAUCCCAACCAUCUCCCUCCUCUUCCUCCCCAGCCGUGGCCAAGGGACUCCUCCUGCUCUGGGCCGUGCCCGCACGCAGCACUCAGCCCCCAUCCCCGCAGCAGACGCAGGCCUUGGUGCGGCUCAUGGCCGAGGACGCGCAGGAGCUCUUCAAACUCUACGAGCAGGAGCAGCACCUGCCCCACAACCUGUGCCGGGCCAACAGCUUGCUGGAGUGGCUGCGGGGGAAAAUGGGGCCACGGGAGAGGGAUCUGCGAGCUCUGCACAGCACCAUGACCCGCAUGGACCGGGAGCUGCAGGACAUCGCCCGGCACCAGGGCGACCUCCAUCCGCCCGAGGCCGCCAUCCUGCACCGCCUCCGCAGCACCCGCAUGAAGGUGCGCGGGCUGCUGGUCCACCUGCGGGGCACCAUGGAGGCCCGCGGCAUCGUCCCCCCCACCGCCCCCCCGCCCCGGCGGCCGGCGGCCAGCAAGGUGUUCCAGCAGAAGAUGGAGGGCUGCCGCGUGCUCUGGAGCUACACCCGCUUCAUGGACAAUCUCAGAGCACACAUGGAGGCUCAGGGCACGCGGGCACGGCGCGAGGAGAAGGGCCGGCGGAAAGGCAGGCGGAGGGGAUGGAGGACAAGCAGACCCUGAAGGAGACCUCCGUGCCAACGCCGAUCCUGCAGGGCCGCGCUCGGACGUAGAGCUGUGCCCGGUGCCGGCACCGGGGUCACUGUGGGGUGGUGACAGCCCGCCCUGACGGAUUUUCCAGUGAUUCAAUGGGUCCGGUGACACGGCCUGACUAAGGGGCCCAGCGCCCGCACACGGCACAGCACCGGCUGCGAGUGCCACCCGUCUGUCCCCCUGCAGCCCCACCACCAUCUCAGGGGGUUUGGUGACCCUGGAGCUCAGAGCCCCUGCAAGCCUGGUGCCCUCCCCACCUUGGUGUCCUUCCCAUCUUGGUGUCAUCCCCACCUUGACGUCCUCCCCAUCUCGCUGUCCUUCCCACCUUGGUGUCCUCCCCACCUUGGUGUCCCCACUCACCCGGUGUCUCUGUGAGCUUGGGGUCCCUAUUAGUUUUGGGUCCCUUCCCAUCUUGUUGUCCUUGGAGCUUUGUGUCCCCACUCCCUUGGUGUCCCUUCAAGCUUGAUGUCCCCAAUUGGUCAGUUGGUGACCCCACUCACUUGACAUCCCUAUGAGCUUGGGGUCCCUAUUAAUUUCAUGUCCAUCCUACCUUGAUGUCCCCACUUGACAUUCCCACCCGAUGUCCCCUCUCAGCAUCCUCAUGAGCACACUGAGCUCCCCUCCGUGCUCACCCCUUCUCUCUCCCUGUCCCCAUCAUCCCCGUGCCCACCCACCCCUCAUCACCCCACACCCCCAGGUGCCCCCCGGUGUUGGGCACAGCCCCGUGCUCUGGCAGUGGGCACCGACCCCCCAUAACUUAUACGUGACAGUGGUUCCUGUAUUUAUUGAAGCCAUCAAAUUAAUUUAACGCGUCCCCGCACUGGGGACGAAUAUUUAAGUUUACACUUUUAAUAUAUGGAUAUAUAUUUUAAAAUAUAUUUUAAAAUGGAUAUCUAUUUUUGCUAUUUUUUUUUAUUGUAUUGUGUUAAAGUAUAAAUUUUAUUUAUGAAUGCAAAUAUUAUUUUGUACUGGAAGAGGGGCACCGAC
ensembl:lncRNA